GCCAGGUGUGGUGGCGCGUGCCUGUAGUCCCAGCUACUCAGGAGGCUGAGGCAGGAGGAUCGCUUGAGGCCAGGAGUUCUGGGCUGCAGUGCACUAUGUUGCCUGGGCGUCUGCGCUAAGUUCAGCAUCAAUAUGAUGACCUCCCGGGAGCAGGGAACCACCAGAUUGCCUAAGAAGGGGUAAACUGGCCAAGGUUGGAAACAGAGCAGGUCAAAACUCCCGUGCUGAUCAGUAGUGGGAUGGUGCCUGUGAAUAGCCACUGUACUCCAGCCUGGGCAACACAGCAAGACCCCAUCCCUA
rnacentral:SRP_RNA from 2 species